rnacentral:misc_RNA from 1 species
GUUGAUUUCAUCCUGUUUUUAGCAUAUUGAGAAAUCAUGAUCAAUUUAUCUCCAGUUCAUGGAUACAAUGCUUCACAGUACACCAUGGAGAAUGUGUAUAUAUGAUUAUGAAAGAACAUAAAUAAUGAAAUUGAAGCCGCUAUCAUCGAUCAAAUGCACUCAAGAAUCAAGAUAUUGGCUGUUAUUUUCUAAUAUUUUUAUGCCGAGAGCAUCUUCAAUAGCGAUGCUGCCUGGCACUGAAAUCAAGGACUUGAAACUGCUAGCAUUUUGUAAGGAGGCUGCUACAACUAGGUCACUAAUCACCAGAAAUUGGCAAAUUGUUUAGGGAAUACUGGAAUAGUUUUGAGUAAAGAUAAGAACAAAAUAAUGAUACAAACAACUUAAUAAAGAUUACUAAUAUCCGCCCAUAUGGAAAUGAACUGAACAAG